rnacentral:rRNA from 1 species
AGAGAGAGACAUGCGCGCAUAUCAAUAAGCGGAGGAAAAGAAACUAACAAGGAUUCCCCUAGUAACGGCGAGUGAAGCGGGAAGAGCUCGAAUUUGAAAUCUUAAAGGGUUUCCCUUUACGAAUUGUAGUUUAAAGAAGUGUUUUCUGUUGAGGUUUUGGUAAAAGUUCUUUGGAAUAGGACAUCAUAGAGGGUGAGAAUCCCGUAUUUGACCUUUACUUUCAACUUUGUGAUACACUUUCAAAGAGUCGGAUUGUUUGGGAAUGCAGUCCAAAAUGGGUGGUAAAUUUCAUCUAAAGCUAAAUAUUGGCGAGGAGACCGAUAGCGAACAAGUACCGUGAGGGAAAGAUGAAAAGAACUUUGAAAAGAGAGUUAAACAGUACGUGAGAUUGUCAAAAGGGAAGCGUUUGACACCAGUGUUGUUUUUCUGAAAAUCAAUUAAAGAACUGUUUAUGCUAAGUUGUUUAGACUUUAUCAGCUAACUGUUUAGUUUUGAGCUUUUCUUUAAUGCACUUUUCAGUUAACAAGUCAACAUCAAUUUCUUUUGCUGUAAAAAAAGCUUGAGGAAGGUGGCUUGAGAUUCGUCUUAAGUGUUUAUAGCCUCUUGCCUAUGCAGUCGGAGAGAUUGAGGUCUGCAGCGUAGAUCCUUCGGGGCUAAAUGCAUUUGUGCUAAGUUAUAGCAUUUUAUAGACAACUUGUUGACUAUGAUUUGUCUUGUAGCUUACUCGCUUAUGUUAUUUUACCUACGCUUAGGAUGUUGAGCGCAUGUCUCUCUCU